CUCCUUUCAUUUUGCCUCUUGGAUUGUCAUGAACUUCCCGAGCAAGGAGGCCAUCCACCAUGCAGCGUAAUGUCUUGCUAAGAGAAAUUAGUAUUCAGUCUGCUCAGGUUCCAGCAAAGACUUUCUUCAUGAAGAUCUUCAAGUGGAAUCGAGCAGCCUUGCCCAUAAAGUCUUUCCUGUGGCUCCACUGAGAAAUUCAAUUAAGUGUUCCAAUAAUGCUCUGAAACAAAGUGGUCCAAUUCAGGUGAGGUAAUUUGUCUUGCAAGCAUAGCCCAUCUGUAUUCUUUACACUAAGGCAAGAGGCAAGCAGAAGACAGAGAGAAAGAAAAAGGCCUUCCGGGAAAGGAAGCCCCCUUUUCAGUCUGCCCAGGCGAAAGUAGAUUUACUCUGAGGAUUCACUUCAAGGGUGAAGCUUUAGGAGUCCUUCACUUGCUCUGGUUUCAUAAAUAUUCACCUUCUUACAUACA